rnacentral:rRNA from 1 species
GAUGAACGCUGGCGGCGUGCCUAAUACAUGCAAGUCGAGCGAACAGACGAGGAGCUUGCUCCUCUGACGUUAGCGGCGGACGGGUGAGUAACACGUGGAUAACCUACCUAUAAGACUGGGAUAACUUCGGGAAACCGGAGCUAAUACCGGAUGAUAUAUUGAACCGCAUGGUUCAAUAGUGAAAGACGGUUUUGCUGUCACUUAUAGAUGGAUCCGCGCCGCAUUAGCUAGUUGGUAAGGUAACGGCUUACCAAGGCGACGAUGCGUAGCCGACCUGAGAGGGUGAUCGGCCACACUGGAACUGAGACACGGUCCAGACUCCUACGGGAGGCAGCAGUAGGGAAUCUUCCGCAAUGGGCGAAAGCCUGACGGAGCAACGCCGCGUGAGUGAUGAAGGUCUUCGGAUCGUAAAACUCUGUUAUUAGGGAAGAACAAAUGUGUAAGUAACUAUGCACGUCUUGACGGUACCUAAUCAGAAAGCCACGGCUAACUACGUG